UCUAAUAUGGCAGAUUAGUGCAAUGAAUUUAAGAUUCAUAUAUAAAGGUACACCUUUUAUUAGAA
rnacentral:tRNA from 1 species